rnacentral:rRNA from 1 species
CCAUAGAUCAUGAGAUCUGGAAUGACUCAUGGUUCAAAGUUCCGGCGCUUAAGGAUCGCUCUGCGGCCUAUCAGGUAGUAGUGGGUGUAAAGUACCCCCUAGCCUACGACGGGUAUGGGCCUUGAGAGAGGGAGCCCAGAGUUGGAUUCUGAGACACGAAUCCAGGCCCUACGGGGCGCAGCAGUCGCGAAAACUUCACACUGGGGGGAACCCCGAUGAGGGAAAUCCUAGUGCUAGGACAUUUGUUCUAGCUUUUCUCAAGCGUAGAUAACUUGAGGAAUAAGGGCUGGGUAAGACGGGUGCCAGCCGCCGCGGUAAUACCUGCAGCCCAAGUGGUGGUCGAUUUUAUUGAGUCUAAAACGUUCGUAGCCGGUUUGGUAAAUCUUUGGGUAAAUCGGGAGGCUCAACUUUCCGACUUCCGAAGAGACUGCCAAACUUGGGACCGGGAGAGGCUAGAGGUACUUCUGGGGUAGGGGUAAAAUCCUGUAAUCCUAGAAGGACCACCGGUGGCGAAGGCGUCUAGCUAGAACGGAUCCGACGGUGAGGGACGAAGCCCUGGGUCGCAAACGGGAUUAGAUACCCCGGUAGUCCAGGGUGUAAACGCUGCAGACUUGGUGUUGGAGGCAAUUCGGUUGCAUUCAGUGCCGGAGAGAAGUUGUUAAGUCUGCUACUUGGGGAGUACGUCCGCAAGGAUGAAACUUAAAGGAAUUGGCGGGGGAGCACCGCAACGGGAGGAGCGUGCGGUUUAAUUGGAUUCAACACCGGAAAACUCACCAAGGGCGACUAUCACAUGAAAGCCAGGCUAAUGACCUUGCUUGAUUCUUAGAGAGGUGGUGCAUGGCCGUCGUCAGUUCGUACCGUAAGGCGUUCUCUUAAGUGAGAUAACGAACGAGACCCUCAUCUAUAAUUGCUACUUCAUUCUCCGGAAUGGAGGCACAUUAUCGAGACCGCUGGCGCUAAGUCAGAGGAAGGAGAGGUCAACGGUAGGUCAGUAUGCCCCGAAUCUCUUGGGCUACACGCGCGCUACAAAGGGCGGGACAAUGGGCAACAACGUCGAAAGGCGAAGUCAAUCUCGAAACCCGUCCGUAGUUCGGAUUGAGGGUUGUAACUCACCCUCAUGAAGC